UGAGUUCUCUAUCUCUAAAAUCG
rfam:Turnip yellow mosaic virus (Denmark isolate) coat protein mRNA, 3' end.